rnacentral:rRNA from 1 species
AAAGCCUGACGGAGCAAUACCGCGUGAGGGAGGAAGGCUCUUGGGUUGUAAACCUCUUUUCUCAGGGAAGAAAAAAAUGACGGUACCUGAGGAAUAAGCAUCGGCUAACUCCGUGCCAGCAGCCGCGGUAAUACGGAGGAUGCAAGCGUUAUCCGGAAUGAUUGGGCGUAAAGGGUCCGCAGGUGGCUAUGUAAGUCUGCUGUUAAAGAACCUAGCUUAACUAGGUAAAAGCAGUGGAAACUACAGGGCUAGAGUGCGUUCGGGGUAGAGGGAAUUCCUGGUGUAGCGGUGAAAUGCGUAGAUAUCAGGAAGAACACCAGUGGCGAAGGCGCUCUACUAGGCCGCAACUGACACUGAGGGACGAAAGCUAGGGGAGCGAAUGGGAUUAGAUACCCCAGUAGUCCUAGCCGUAAACGAUGGAUACUAGGCGUGGCUUGUAUCGACCCAAGCCGUGCCGGAGCUAACGCGUUAAGUAUCCCGCCUGGGGAGUACGCACGCAAGUGUGAAACUCAAAGGAAUUGACGGGGGCCCGCACAAGCGGUGGAGUAUGUGGUUUAAUUCGAUGCAACGCGAAGAACCUUACCAAGACUUGACAUGUCGCGGAUCUUCUUGAAAGGGAAGAGUGCCUUCGGGAGCGCGAACACAGGUGGUGCAUGGCUGUCGUCAGCUCGUGUCGUGAGAUGUUGGGUUAAGUCCCGCAACGAGCGCAACCCUCGUUUUUAGUUGCCAGCAUUAAGUUGGGCACUCUAGAGAGACUGCCGGUGACAAACCGGAGGAAGGUGGGGAUGACGUCAAGUCAGCAUGCCCCUUACGUCUUGGGCUACACACGUACUACAAUGCUACGGACAAAGGGUAGCUACACAGCAAUGUGAUGCCAAUCUCAGAAAACCGUAGCUCAGUUCAGAUCGCAGGCUGCAACUCGCCUGCGUGAAGUCGGAAUCGCUAGUAAUUGCAGGUCAGCAUACUGCAGUGAAUUCGUUCCCGGGCCUUGUACACACCGCCCGUCACACCAUGGAAGCUGGUCACG